AAGUGGCUAGAAAUUAUGAAAACAGUAUCAAAAAAACCUGAUUCUCAAGGCGACAAAUGGCCCCGGUGAAAGGUUAUUUGACCGUGUGGGAUUGAUUGCUUUGGCUUCUAACUGCCACACAUGACAUCCCUCUGGAAUGGCAUUUGGCUUCUGCCAAAAAAUGAGCAGAAAAAAACCCAGCUCAAUCCAGAUACUUUUGCCUGGUUGUUUUUGAUUGUCCUCCCAGUCUGCUUGCAGACCCUGUGGAGGAGGGUAGGCUUUUUAUUGACCAGAUAGCUGUGGCUGUAAUCUCUCUGAAAAUGCACAUUAAAGGAAUUUUAAAAUCGAGAUUAUCUCUGUGAGUAGUCCUUAAUGACUUCUUUGCAGCUGUUACAAUGCUUAUGUAAAUAUUGCCAGUGAAUAUUUAAGGCUCUAUUAAAGAGAAAUUUACUGUGCUGUCCAUAAUUGAAUCUCUACAUAAAUCCCAUUGCACAGGUUGGCUCUCUGGAACACAACCACUGCCUCCCUCUUCAGCUCAGUGUCAGAAUCCUCCCCUCCACAAUUCUUAUGGGAUUGGGGAUAUGAUGCGUGCAGCAUCCUCAGAGAGACACAAGCCCCUGGAGGGGACCUGUCCCCCAACUCUAGCAACUUUAAAAUCAAAAUGUAAGAAUUACGUUCAAGUAGGGGAAAAAGUUAAACUAGGAAGAAGUAACAAAAUGAAUUCAGUAUAAAAUAAUAUUGCAGGUGGGAACAAUACACGUGUAUGUAUGCACAACUGCCAUCAGCUCUUUUGUUCUGAAGCUGGAGGAGCAUGAAAACAGAAAUUCGUCUCCCAUCCAAGCUCAAACCUGCCAGAAGUAGCUGAGACAUGAGAAGAAGCUUUAGCAUUUCUCUGAGCUCACGAAGAGAAAGCCAAAUGAAUUCAGAUUCAUCUGCACUUGAAAAGCCACUUCUCUGCAGGACUGGAGCAGCAGAUGGAUGGAGAACAGGAGCACCACAAUAUUCCAGAACAUCUCCCACCACCCAGCAUUGCAGUGCCCAGGGCAGGAGCUGAACCAGGAGCUGAGCCACAGAAAUCCCAGCUUUCCCAGCAACACUGAGAGAUCAUUACAAUAAACUGAGCAAGAUGAAGUUCUCUGAACCAGAUGGGCCUUUUCUUCUCCUUCUCCAUUACCAGGUCUCAGUUUGCCCACACACACCUGCCCCUGUGGCAGAGGCAUCCCCCAGUCUCAACCCACAGCCACACACCCCCAGGAGCUAAACAAGAAGAGGAAAUCAAAGAUCACAACUAGCUGAACCUUAUUCUUCUUAAUAAUUAUUAUUAUUGAACAUUUACAAGCAAAUAUAGCAUCAGGAUCUUAGGAAGAUUUAAUGGAAAAAAAUUAAUUUUCCUAAACUAAUGAAGUACUUGAGCUCCAGGGCAACAACUGCUAAUGGUGCUUCUAUCUCAGCUGAAGAGGCAAAAAAAAUUGUGUUUAAUAGUAAUUUUAAAUAUAGAUUUGAGGUUCUUUCCCAUAAAUCAUGAAGUCAGAUAAGGACUGUGCAUAAUAACUUGUCAGAUUACAUAAACAAAACUGAUUUCAAAUACUUUAAAAAACACUUUCAUUCCAUUUGCAAGGCUGCACACUUGCAAGGAGACUUCACAUUUGCAUGAGCCACCAUGCACUUAACCCUUCACUCAUGGUAACUCUUCCCAUUUAACAGCACCAAACGUAGUCAUCACAAGCCUUUAAAAAAAGAAUUAAAUUGCAUGGACAUGAAUUUGUCCAGGGAGGCGUCCUGGCAGGUGUGCUCAAGCCAUGUGCUCAUGCCAUGCAGGGGUGUUGGGCACCUGUGAGGAGCUGGAGGGGACUUGGUGUGACAGGAGCCCAGCCAGGCACCAGCCCAGGAGAACCUGGGGUCAAAAGCAGCCAAAACCUCUGUUGGUGGCUCAGGGCUGCUUCCCCUCAGACUUCCAGCCCCAGCAGCCUCCCAGUGCCUGCUCACAGGAGCUUUGUCCCUCCACCAUGAGCCCUGCAUGUCAGGAAAAUGCAGCAUCCAUCAGUUUUAUUCCCCAUGUGCUGCCCUGAGACACCUCUCAGCUGCUGCUGUGCUGAGCUAUUACUCUGAAUGCAAGUAAUGGCCCACGCUGCUCCACUCCUUUGCAACAGGUACUUUUUUAAUGCCUCCCUCCCUGAAUCCCUCUUCCCCCAAGGACCACAGCACUGCAGGCUGCCGCCUUACUGCAGUGGGACCUCAUCAGCAGAGCAACCCCUGCAGGCUCAGCACCUCCAGGGCUUUCACUGAGGGAGCAAACACUCCUCUUUAUUACACUGAAAAUGUCCAGAGGAUCAUUAACAUCCUCCCUGAACCUCUUCUCCCUUCAGUAAAAGGAUGAUAGGGGGAAAAAGCCUCACUGAUAAAAGCUGAACUAGCACUUGAGGCUCUGUAGACAAAUAUUGGGGGAUUUGUACCACGAGCCCUCCAAAUUCACCAUCUUCUGGUUUUGGACCAUCCCUAAAUGCCCGCUGCCAGGACAACCAUCCAUCCACUGCUUGAGGGCCUGUUGGUUACCAUGAGUUACCACCAGUUUGUGUUGAACUGAACAUUCCUAUGAGGGAAUGACGGGUUGAACCAGUGGCUUACACUGAACCCUCUGUCCCUGGCCAAAGAGCCCAUGCAUGGAGGGAGCAGGGCCACAGCUGCCAGCAGAACCACCUUCAGGUACCAUUGGGAACUAGGACUCCUUGGGAAGCCCAGAAAUGCUUCUCUUCUCCAGAACAACCAGAGGGACCAAAUAUCUCCAUCCCAAAUGCCCUGCCCUGUUCAGUGCUUUAUAAACUUUUUAUCCAGCUGUAAAAUUUCUAAUUAUCUGAGGUAACUAACCAACGUUGCAUGAACUCAAACCGAGACUAUUCCAGUCAAAUACAUAAUUAAAAAUUUCUGCUGUGCUGGUUCCUUCCCCCAGUUACAUAAAUUACUGUGCAGGGUACAGCACCACAGCUGGAACCCCAGCUUGGUGAUCCUGCUAAAUGCCAGGACCAGGAGGAAUGGGCUGCACCCUGCCCUUGCCCCCCCACUGCAGCAGCACUGGCUCUCCUGGCCAGCAUUCUCAACUCUCCCAGCCAUCAUUCCCUGCUCUCUUUGUCUGCACUUGCUUUGGAGAGCCACAGGCACUGUGAGCCCCAGGCUGCAGCCCAGGAGCAGGCUCAGCUGGCAGAGAGGGUGCCAGAAUUAGAGCAAAGCACAUCCUCAGCUCGCCCCUCCUCAGAAUCCACUCUGGGAAACAUUGCUCUGUGAGGAGCCAGCAGCAGCUGGAGACUGACAGUUUGGAAAGCCACAAAGAGCAGGAAGAAGCCGAUGCUCCCAGCUUCUCCAGGCUACACAUGUAGCUGCUGGGACUUCAGCGUUUGCAUCUUACCGAGCAUCGGGAAACUUCUGUGUCUCCUCAAGCUGUGCCAGAAAACCUGAUAUUCCUCCUAAUGAUUCACCUGCCUCCACACUGCAUCAAAGACAUCAAGUGGGUCUCAUAGCAACUGCCAGAUUAGCACUUCUCCAUAAGCCAGGCUUAUCACCAGGAGCGGGAGGGCUGGAAGGGAAUGUGCACGAUGCCAGCUGGGAAACAGGAGCAAUUCCCCCCGGCUGCCUCGUACCUGCUAGGGAUGAGCUGCCACUGAGCUCCUAGAAAGGACAAGCAGGGGCUGAGCCCCAGGAAGCACUGGCUCCUUACCUAGCUCUUAAAUAACCUCUCCCCUGGCCUACUCAAGCCUGGGAGACUCCUGUCCCAAAGGCAGUUGCCUUCCUGCACACCUGCCUGUGAGAGGAGCUGACUUUCAGAGCUGACUUUCUGCUUUGGCUCAGCUGUCUCCAGCUGUAGCCUCUGGCACAUCCAUGUGUGCCGUGUUCAGGAUCCCCUCGGCUUCUCACAGUCCAUGUGAGCAGGGAGGGGGUCUGCAGCAGCCUCCUGUGCUUGUGUCCAUGCUCCAUGUGCACUUGUGUUUGAUGUGGGAGUGCUGACAGUGGAUGUCAGCCCCCUUCAGCUGCAGGAAGCAUUUAGAGCCACAGAUUCACAGGAUGGUUUGGUUUGGGAGGGACCUUGACGUUCAUUUUGUUCCAACUCCUUGCCAUGGGCAGGGACACCUUCCACUAAACCAGGUUUUUCCACAGCUCCUUUUACUCCAAGGGUCCUACUGGAACAGCCCCAGCCCAGGCUGGCUGGCUGGAAGCGCUGGUGGCAGAGGGAGGCCAGCCAUGCUAAGUGCUCCUGGCAGUGAAAACGCGGGUGGACAAGCACAUCCAACUCCACUCCAAAUCCAUUUUACAUCAAAGGCAUUUGACUCUGCCUAAUUUCAAAGGGCCAUCCCGUCUCCCCAGUCCAACUGUAGGGCUUCCCAGGCUCAGCCCUAAUCCUGCUGCUGCCCCAGCGCUGAGUGUGGGCCCUGCCUGUGGGUGCCACAAGUCCUGUCUCCUUGGCAGUACCGUGGCAAGAGGGGACGAGUCCAGAGCAGUCCAGACAAUUUCUGUGGCUUUCUCGGAAAGGACUGUGGAAAUUCUGUCCUUCAGGUCUCACUGCUACAGCUUUGCCCGAGCAUUCCCAGCCUCUCCUUCAUCUUUGGGAUUUACCCUGCUAUCUACAGCACUGAUCAGCAAUGCCAGGGAGCAUGGCAGGACCUUGUGACUCCUUGCCUAUUGUGCCACAGCUCUGGGGAUUUUGCUUGCCAGGGCAGCUGGAUACAGAGACAUCUCCAAUGGGAGUGUUUAACAGCUCCUCACAACAGAUAUUGGAGGGUGCUUUAAACCCCAGGGCCAUUAUCUGAGCCUAAUUUUCCGUUCCAGCCCCUAACAUUUCAAUUUCCCCCUUCACUGAUCUCUGGCUUUAAUGGCUCUCCCAAACUUUCCUCAAGUUGAGAAGUGCCCAUUUGGUAUCGUUCCUGCUGCAUCCCACCAAAGCUUCAUCUUCUUUCUUUUUCCUACCCCUUUCCCUUUUCUCAUCCUUUUCACCUUGAAAACGCAGCCUCAAUGUCCUCACUUCCCUGGGAAUUGUGGCCCUGGCCCUGGCCCUGGCCCUGGCCCUGCGGGGGAUGCUGCAUUUCCCCUCUUGGCUCCCUCACAAGGGGCUGCAGCUGGACCCUGGGAAGGAAUUUCAUGGAGCUUGGGAACCUUCGCUUCCCCUUUUCUUUCAUCUCUUUGCACGCCAGGCUGGAGCUGACACUCCAAAUCUCUCUGGCGGGACCGAGGGCGGCGCUUGGCCGCCAAACCGCUCCAAAUCCAUUCAGUGGGGCCCAGCAACACUCGGUGGUCUCCAGUGGCUCGGGGGGCUCUUGUCCCCCUGCUUUGUCUGCUCUGUCCAUGUGCCCAGGGCUCUUGGCUGGCUGCCACUGUCCGGUCUCUUCCCAGCCCCCUGGGGAUAGGAUGCUGUGGGGCUUUGUCAGCUGCUGCUUGGUGUCACUCAGCUGCCACUGCCUUUGUCCCUGCCAGCAGGCUGUCUCCCCGGAGAAGGGCUUGCUCACCCACUCCCAGUCUGCUUGGCACUAAGCAGUGCUGUGGGCUCUGGAGAGAGUUUUCUUGGGCUCUUGGCUGCUUCUUCCCCCAGUUGUUCCUCAGGCAGAGCCGGCUCUGGGAUGUGAGCACAGCUCAGCACUGCUCUGCCCUCCCCUCUGCUCAAGGAGAGGUGACCUCAGUGCCUUUGGGAGUCAAUUAUUCAAAGCCAGACAAUUCUAAAACCUGCCAACACUCAGGGAAAGGUUUUUAUUGGCAUUUAAGCUAUUAGUCCUGCCACCUGGUUUUCAGCCACGCUUCCUGCCAGACUUGGAAAAAACUGGUGGGACAAGGGACACUGAGACAGUUUCUGCACAGGUGAUGUGGGACACACAGGCACAGCAGAGCUCCAUUAUGCCAGUGUCUGCCCAGGAGGGACAGAUUUUGUAGGCUCCUGUCUCCUUAACCCCUGGGAGAAUGUCAGGGCAAAUAUACCAGCCAAACCAUUAACAGCAUCUAUGGAUGCAGAAUGGUUUUGGCCAAGAGGCUCUUGGGGCUGAUUGAAAGAAAAUUGGUGAAUGUGGGGCUUUUUCUCUCCCAGGGGCUGUGCACGGCUAAGUGCUCUGACAGACAGCUUUAUGGACUGUUACAUGGAUAUGGCUCUUCCCAUGGCUUCACAGACCCAUUUCACAAAUGGUGCUGGCUGCAAUCCACUGAUCUGUGCCGAGCUGCUGGUUGGGACAUCGCCGUGGAGGCUGAAGCGACGAGAAGGAAAACACGGAUGAGAAGUAGAUGGGGAAAAACAAAUGUCAAGCUGUGCUUUUUAUAGUGCGAGGGCAGAGUACUGGCUGGGCUCUUAAGAAGAGAAGGAUGUGCUAGUAAUUGGAAAGGCGCUGGGGGGAGGGUGGCAGCCCGGCUCCUGUACCUGCAAGCACUCAGGACCAGCCCUGGGCUGGGAUGCUGCACUCUGACUGCUCACAUUGAGCCUGACUGAGACCAAAGGCACUGUGUCCCUCCCAGUGCAACCUAGGCAUGGGCCAGUCCUGAGCACCCCAGCCAUGGAGCCUGCAAGGUUAGAGAGAGGAGACUCAGAGGAAAGGACUGAGCUGGAUCCCCAUUUUCAGGCAGGGUUGGCCCCAUGACACCACAAGCAGAACAGUCCUCUGGGUUAGCAGAGAGCUUGGAAACACUGGCAGCCAAAGGCUGCAUUGGUGUUGCUUAACUCUGGCUUUUUCUGGGAAACUAAACCCCCAAGGCCACAUGUGGCCAUACCUGCUAGUGCUGCCCAUUGCACACAUCAGGCGAUGUGCUCCUGCCAGUGAAUCCUGUGAUCUAUUCCUAAACACUGUGUUAUUGAAGGCCAGAAUGAGUAUCAGGCAGAGAAAUCAAGUGUUCCCUGAUCUAAGCCGACUGGAAUCAAUUGCUGCAGGGGAAAAGUGCGGUCAGCCACCUCGGAGCCCUCUGACAGGUCAAUAAAUACACCUGAGAGGACACGCUUGCCUGCAGAGGUGGACGUGUUUCCCCCGGCAUUGCUGCUUGAGUGAUGCCCUGCUGUGCUCUGCUGCUGCUGACCUGGGUGUCACACGGACUUCACACUGGGAUGUCACCUUGCCCCCAGGUGCCACCAGGGCUUUUGCUCCCACCCCUCCUGUGCUGGUCCUGCUGUGGCAGAGGUGAGGAGUUGCAUCCCAGGACACUCACAACCAGCUCCCGCCUCCGUCCUCUGUGCCAGGCACAGCACUUAUUCAUGCUUGAAAAUUUGCAAGGGAAAGAUAAUAACCCCCCCAAGAAACCCUGUCCUGGUUUUGGCCUGGCAAGGAGCUAAGAUAAAUGUCAGUUUUCAGUUAAAAUCAUACUCGGAAGAUGAGCAGAACAAUGGUGAUUUAAUUCUGCUACGUUUAUUAAACACAUAGAGACAUGUCAGUGCUGGCAGAGCCAAGCAGGUCCCACAGCCCUGGGGCUCAGUCCCUACCAGCAUCAGAAAUACCCAGGAUUAGAUCAAAUACAAGCCUGACAUUUGAAACCUAGGAACUGCAUCCACAUGCACUUCCUGAGUCCUUAAGAGAAGUCCCACUGGAAAGCCAGUCCACAGCACAAGUCAUGGGCAGCCAUCUCCCUGCCCAUCCCCGGUGGAGAUGGUGGGCUGAGCCCACUCUGGACUGAGCCCCCCAUGGACAAGCCCCACCACAGACUGAGCCCACCAUGGGCUGUGCCUACAUGUGCCAUGCAGGUCUCCUCCACUGCAGCAUCCUCAUGGCUCUCCUCUCCAAGCCCUCCUGCCAUAACUCAUCUCUGCUGAGAGGCGUCGCUGCCUCGAACUGCUUAUUAGCACAAAUUGCCUGGCAGAAACAAACUGCUCUCUCAGCGCUCGUCAUUCACCGGGCGCGCGCGGCCAAAGCGCGGCGAUGGGGCCGGGCACAUCGACAGCUUGCUCUGCUGCAGGGCACCGUGGGGCUCAGCACGACCCACGGGCUGCUCCAGCGAUGACAGCAGUGACAAACCCUUGGUUCUGCAACAGAACUUACUGAUGGGUCAGUUAAUUCCAACUCUAGUAAGAGGUUUUGUUAGAUGUGCUUGGGCCAUGCUGUUUGCCGGGAGCUGGACGUGUGCUGGGGGCUGGUACCUGUCUGGGGAGGGGGAAGCAGGGAGUAGGGAUGAGCUGCUGGGAAACCUUAUCCAUCACUGUUCCCUCUGCUCUACUGCAGAGCCACUCUGCCUACAUGAGGCACCUACAUGUGGUCCCUCAUUCCUGUCCCCCAUCCCCUUGGGGACCUAAGGACACUCAGAGGGGUACACAGCAUGGAGAUCUUGGCUGUGAAACUUAUCAGCUGGGAUGAUGUACUUACACUUUUAAUAAGAAAUAGCACUUGAUAUAGAACUGUUCCAGCAUUUAUUGAACCGAAGUGCCUUCCGCUGCCUCAGUGCAGAGCCCUGAAGCCUGUCCUGGAUGAUUUAAGAAUGAUCCAUCUGGAAAAUGAUGCAGACAAUUUGUUACAUCCAGCCAGAGAGCCAUAGAAACCACCAUAACAAGCUUAAAUGAUUCCAGCAUCACUACAUCAUCCAGCCCCAGCCAAUCUUCCUCAGAGCCACCACUGAGCUGGGGUUGCCCAUCCUGCAUGGCUCCCCUUCCUAAAGCUGAUGCUGCUCCUGCAGCCCGUCCUGGUGCUGAAUCCAGGCUUCUAGUCAAUGCUUAAUGGGACAUGGGGACCCCUUUUCACCUUUCCACUGCUUGUCUCACCCUCUCAAAUCCCUAUUUUAAGACAAGAAGCUCCAAGCAGCUCACAAACCCUCCUGGUGGGCUCCUCUGGCUGCCAGCAGCAUGGGUGCCUGUUGAUGGUUACUACCUCGCCCUGGGUAAAUCAGGGCUUCAGUUUUCAAAAUAGCGUGUUGAUUGAAGCUUAAAAUAUCCCCAGCAAUUACUUCGCCCCGGUAUAAUUAUAAUAAUUAAACUUGGAUAAUGCUUAGUCCUACUUUUUAUCAGAACUCUGUGCUGCGGCACCAGUGUGUGGUGUUUUGUUUCCAGCCUCAUUUUCCAGCCUCACCCCGCCGAGCAGUGCUGGAAGGGACAUGAGCUGGCAGUCUCCAGUGCUGACAAGGGGACGGUGACCCUGUCACGGUCCCUCCAGCUCUGGGGACCACUCAUGGCACUGUUUAACCCAGGGCAUUGUGUCUGGUGGCCGUGCUCUGGCCCUUGCUGCACAGCAGGAUGAGCAGCAGGAGGGGGUGCUCCCAGCUCCAUGCUGGGGCAAUGGGUGCUGGAGGGAGUAGGGAUGCUGGUUCUUCCCCUUGGCUGCUUGCCUUGUCCCACCCCAAUCCCUCUCCCACAGCUCAGCACAAUAUUUCUCCUCCACGCUCCCAGCAGCGACACUUGGAACAGCUCAGGCUGGUGAGUAUGUUUCCGGCUGUGAUAAAUAGCAGGGAAAGGAAUGAGAGCCUAACACUGUAUUUCAUGCCCUGAAAUCCCACUUGCAUCUGGAAAUGAACAGAGUUCUCCGGCUGAUAUAUGCAGCUCUGAGGCCAUUCGCAUCCUGUUCGCUUGUACACAUUGUCUCAGUGAUUUAAGCUGGCAAUUUGGCCCUAAAAUGAAGAGCAGCUCACUUUGUCCCUCCCCAUUUUUCUAUAUAUUUUCCUGCAGAAUGGAGCUUUUGGAGAUUUGGCUGGGCUGGGCAUCAUCUCUGGUCUCGGUUUUGUGCUGGCCUGGCACGGAGAAUUGUGGAGGGUCCUGGCACUGUGGGAAGGCUGCUGCCACAGGCUGGGAAUGCAAGUGGCAGGUGGCUGUGCUGGUCUCUGCUUUCCCAGGCCAUCCCUCUUCAAAGCCAACAUGGACACCAUUGAAGGCUUUUCCCCCUUUCCAGGUCACGGUGCAUUGUGAGGAUGACAGCCGUGCUAUCCCACAGUGUCCUGGGGAAGGGGGAUGGCGGCUGUGGGAGCUGUCCUGCUGCCUGGCAAGGGCCCUCCUUGUGCUGCAUAGUCCCCACAUCUCUCUGUCCAUCUCUCUGUCCACAUCUCUCUGUCCAUCUCUCUGUCCAUCUCUCUGUCCAUCCCUCUGUCCAUCUCUCUGUCCAUCUGUUGAGCAGCACAGCAGCAGGGCCAGCCUGAGUGUGAUCCAUCGUCACCCACUCCACACACAAAGUGCAAACCAGAGCCACCACUUACCAGGGGCCUGCUCAUGACCAGGACUCCUCCUUGGGUAAAAGAUGUAGCUGGGUGAAGUGAUUUCAUAGCAGAACUGUUCUUUAAGGCAUGAUUAGUGAUGUUUAAUUAACUCCCCAACAGCCCUAUUCUAUGGCUUCCUUCUUCCAAGCAGCUGUCCCAAGGCACACGGGGUCCCCUCAAAGUCCUGGGGGACACCGGGUGAGCCUGGGGACCUGGCACCCUCCUGCCUGUGCCACAGGGCGUGGAGGUGGUGCUGCUGUGGCGGGGACUCCAAGGGGAUGCACAAGACCCUCUUCCCAGGACAAAGGCAGAGCUAUUUCCCUGCUGCUCACCCGAGGUGUGCACAGCUGGGAACAGGGGGAUUUCUCCAGGGAAGCUCUGGACUCCUUGCUGAGACAUGGAUCCUCUGGACACCAAACCAACGCUGUCCCCUCCCCAGGGACCGUGGCCGCGCGCGGAGGAACCCAGUCACCACCGGCUGCGCGGUUCUCAUAUCAGUUUUAAUAGCAACAUCAGAGUACUAAAUAUACAGAGGGCAAGGGGACAGGGUGGCAUUUACAGUGCUUCCAAAUACACGGCUUCCACGGACAGAGACAAAUUAAAAACCGCUCGGGAAGAAAAGGUCCUUUUGGCACUGCCCCAGCUCGCGCUGUGGGCGGGUGGGGCAGCCACAAUGCCAAAAGGCGACGGCGCUUCCAUUGGAUGCCUCCUGGUGCAGGAUUUUCCCAGGAAAAGAAAGAAGUACUCAGUGAUGUAAAACCGGUUACAAAGUAAAACUGUCUCAUGUUAGAAAACGGGUUUUGGCAAAAUAAAAAUAAAGUGUAAACUUCACUGUACAUGUCCUAUCAAACAAAAAAAUAAACCCCUUGGAACCUAAAAUAGAAGAAUCUGGGUCAGAAAUCUGUGCCCUUAGUGUAUAUUUUUGUGCAACAUAUACUUUUUUCAAAGUAAAUAUUAUCUCCACUUGUGACACUAUUAAAAAUGUACCUACAAAUGUUGAGAGUAAUUCUUAAAAAUGUGUGAGAAGCGUUAGAUGAGCUCGGGAGACCAAACCCACAGACUUGGAAAUGGCAAGGGAUUUCUUGCUGGUUUUGAAAAGAUUGCGUACAGAUUUAAUAUCUGGUUGAAUGAAAAUUCCAACCACAUUCAUCCUGAAAUGGGCGGGCUGAGAUAGGAUAGAUAUAUUUUUGUUCUAUUUUAUUUUUUAAUUUUUUUUUUUACAAAAUAUAUAUUAUGUGUAGAAUAUCUACUAUUUAACUACCGUUUCAGCUGAACUACCUUCCUUCGCAACAAGCUGCCAGUGGAGAAGAGGUAACCUGAAAUCUGUCCCCGCGCUGGCUCUGCCAUCGCUACGGUGACCUCCUGGCAGGCUCGGUGCCCUUGACCCCACGGAACUCUGGAGCCCCAUGGAGCACUGCUGUUCUCUGGAGCACGGCUCCUGCCACCACCACCGGCCGCCCUUUCUCCAGCUGGGAAGACAGAGUGAAGGUAAACGAUCGGAUCUGGAGAGACGGGCGGCUGCCCAGGACCGGCUCUGCCCGGGGUGCUGUGGGGUGAAGCCGCCCUCGGGGGACCCCGGCUUCCAAAAGUCAGGGGAUUGAGGACCAAACCCUGCCUGCCCUACCUGUUGGUGCCAUGACAUGAGAGCUCGGACCUGGAGCCCCAAACCAGCUCAGUUUGGGGCAGGAUAGAGCACACUGGUGCUUUGACUCCCUGGCCCGGUGGGAGUGGCACAUCCUGUGGCUCCUGCUCAGGGUUUGCAAGAAAUAUGGAGGGAAGAGAAUCCCAGACAACCCUGGGAAGACUGGGCUUGCUGCAGGGCCCAAGGAAAGGCAACCUCUCCUUGCCAUGGGUGGCUUGCCCGACACCACUUUCUCUAAGACAGAGCCACAAGUGACACACAGACACUCCAUGACAUGUCUGGGGAAUGUGGCAGCCUCUUGGCUGCCAUGGUGUGUUUCUCAGCGACUAUUCAGGGGCUAAGGAAUCUGGAAAAUGAACUGAAAGGAAACAAGCAGCAGUGGGCUGAGGGCUUACAGCAAAGCAAGGAACAAAACUUUUCUUUUUUCAAGCUUCCAGGACCUCAGGGUGAGAUGAUGUGCCCAAAACAUGACAAAGCUCCCACAGGAGCGUGUCUGAGAACACCAUGCUUCCCUGCUUUUCCACGGUGGGAAGAUCUACUCAAUAGACUAUGCCAUGGAAAUGUGACUUUCUAUUUUCAUUUCUUUCUUGUUUUUUGGCUUUCAUCAAUAGGAGGGAAUGAAAUCACCACAGCUCAUUUCUCUUCACUGUGCAAGACCUUGGCAUGCCUGGAUCCUGCCUUGUACAUCACUGCAUCAGUGGCUCCAUCCCAGCCCUUCCUCCUUCUCCUCUCCCUCCACCACAGUGGCCCAGCAUGGAUGGGGGGAGGUUUCCUCUGAUAAAGUGCAAGUGCUGUUGGUCCUUAUAAAUAAGGGAAGAUUGUGCAUCUACUUUUGUUCCCUGGUUCACCGCUCAGCUCCGGGGAGACCAGGACAUGUCCUGCUGCAGACUGGGGGGGAAGCUCAUGCAAGUCCUGCCCUCUGGAACCUGUGUCCAUCCUUGGGGUCACAGUGAUUCACCUUCCUUCUCUCUCUCUCUCUCUCUCACACACACACACACACACACACACGCACACACACACACUCACAUGCUUUCUCCUCCUCUUCCCCAGCUCCACAGGGAAUUUCCUGCGAGCCAGGUGCCUCUCCAUCACCACAGCCAUCAUCACCACGGCUUGCACCAGUGCUGCCUGUGCUGCCCUGGCAUCUCCCAGCUCUGCCUGACAACUUCUCUGUGGGCAGCAGGUUCCAUCCAUGCAGAAACACAGAAAGCUGCUUCAGAUGCCCUGCAAUGAGGGAGCUGAGAUAUGUUUCUUGUCAUACUGCUACCAUGAUUACACUGGAAUACCUGUGGGAAUUAAAUAAAUAGGAAGAUUAAGGGGAGAAGCACAAGGAACAUGGCUCAAAGCUGGCACAGAUGGAUUCCCAUGAAGUCACAAAGGGAGGAGAGCCUGUGGGCAGGGGCUGACACCAGUGUCACAGGAAACACUGAGAUGACCCUGGAGCAGUUGCUCAGACUUCAUGCUUCCCAAGGACAGAUACUCCCCAUGUUUGCCAUGGACAGCUAAAGCUUUGGGGGCCACUGCUCUAGCAGGACACUGUCCCCUCUCCCCCCUGGAGGCAUCCAAUGCUCUGGAGAGCCAGACAUGAGCCACCCAGGAGAUGCUGCUCUGCCCAGGGGAUGGUUGGCUCAAGUCCGCAGGUUCACCAAUGGAAUCCUGUUGAGGACGAGAAGAAAAAGAAAGAUUAAGUCAUGACAGGGAAUUUGCACUGCAUCACUGCUUGGAUGAUCCCCCACAGCCUGGAGGUUUCCUCCUCCUUCCCCUCGGCUGUGGAGCUGUGGGAUUCCUGGGGGAACAGAGCAUGGAGGGAGCAGGGUAUCAAUGACCUCUUCCUCCUCCACAGCUGCUGGUCUGUGCUGGGGAUUGGGAUCACUACUUCCCUCUCCUUGGGGCCUUUUCCAGAUGGGAUCAUCCCUGUGUUCUGCAGCUUCUCACACUCGGGCCUCAAGCAGCGAGUGCUCUGGCAGAUGAGCAGAUGAUGACAAGCACUAACAAGAUUUUCUAAAGUUAAA